UGCAGCACCGCCCACAGCCAAACCAAGAUCAAAAGUCUGAGGUUGUGAAUGUCAGUCAGUGUGUCUGAUCACACUGAUCUGAAAGGCUUCUGGUGUCUGCAGAGAGAAUGAUAACUUCCGAAACAUUUAAUUUGGUUCUUCAGUAAUAGAGGGGGAAAGUCUGUUGUCCUUUAAGGAUGUAUCGUCGUCUUUUCGUGGUUGCCAGUCUGCUGUCAUCCUAUAUGGGUGGAUCCCGUGCUCAGGAUCAGCCACUGCAGGUUCUCGCCUUUGCGGGUGGAGAUGUUAUUCUACCGUGCAGAUUCAAUAUCUCUGACAAGGAAGACUUUCCGACUGUUGAGUGGUCCAAGGAAGGCUUGAAGCCAGAUGUUGUCUUCUUGUACCGGGAUGGUUGUGAGGCCUACGAGAUGAAGAAUCCAGCCUUCGAGUACAGGACGAGCCUCAUCAUGAAAGCGCUCAAAGAUGGAAACAUCUCAUUACGGAUCUCCAAUGUGCAGGUUUCUGAUACUGGAAAGUACAAAUGCCUCACAUUCCAGAAAAAUGUUGCCAGGAAGGUUACAACAGUGGCGCUGGAUGUGGUGGCUGUUUCUGAGCCAAAGCUUUCAGUGAUUUCAGCGGAGGGCGGUGACAUAGCACUGCAUUGUGAAGCAAACUGCUGGCUGCCAGAGCCUCAGGUAACAUUUCUGGAUGACAAUGGAAACAACAUCUAUGGGGAAAACCCCAAAGGAGAACAAGAUGCCCGUGGAUGUUUCACUGUGACACGAAGAGCCACUCUGCAAAGAGCCACCAGCAGUGUCACCUGCAGAGUUCAUCAACCAGAGUUUAACCAGACCAGGGAAACAAAGAUCCUCAUACCAGGUGUCUGCAUGAAGUCUGAUCCUCACACUAUUGCCAUCGCCAUUGGAGGAACAGCACUGUUUUUCUUAGUUGCAGCUGGGGUCAUUGCCCUUUCAUGCAAAAAAUGCUUCAGAUGUGCUAUUGUAAAGCAGCCAGUGAAAAGAAAGACAUCAAAUCAAAGCCACCUCCACCCCACAAGAGUUAACAGCACAGACAGCUCGGUAAAUGGCAGCAUUGGACAGAUGAAAAGAGAGUCUGGGUUUCUUAUCGAAGAUGAGACCCGAAAACUACAGGACAGCAAAGUUGUUUCCUACAGCAGUGGAACAACUGUCCAAUGCCAUUCCACAACCACAGCAGACGUUUCAAAACCCUCCAAACUACUCUUAACUCACGGCCCUGACAACAAGAGCUUGACCAGUGUGCACAAUCCAAACCUAUCUUCAGCUUCAAACAGCUUUAAAACUCCAAAAUCUGACGACUUACCAAAAAGCUGGGGUUCAAAGCUUAUUAUCAAAAGGCAAAACAGCUUUCCAGGACCUGGUAACCAGAUGAUCAACUCCAGUGUCUCACCCCAUCAAAGCACCCACCAUCCUCAGCGUAGGCGCUCCUCAGGACCUCCACAUUUUGGUGAAUUUCAUAACCGUCACAGCCUCCUGAGAAAUUUACCUGAAGAAGAUGAACAGAGAAGUUUAUUAAAAAAUGAAAACUAAAAGAAAUGUAAGCUUUACAUUUCAAACAUAAGUGAAGCAUAAGGCAAGGCAAUGCUCGCUUGGUUUAAAUGACUGAAACUCCUUAACUGAGCAAUAACUAGAAACUGAAAUUUCACACCAGUGAUGAAAGCAUGGAGUAGGAGCUUGACCCCUGGAUGAACUACAGCAGGUUGUUGGGAACAGGAAUGCUGGGCAUUUAUGUUUAGACUUUUGCUUCUGGGCCUGGAGUCAAAUAACUAGAAAAAUGGACAUAUAGUUUAAAAGAACUGAGCCAGCCUGGUGGGCUUACCUGUGUUUCUAGUAAACUAAGCUAACUUAAUACUGGUACAGGCCUGUCCUUUGAAUGUUUUUAAUAUUAAGGAUGAUUUCUUUCUUUUUUUCCUUUCUUUUUUUUUUUGCAUUACCAGUCAAAAAAUGGGACCAGACCAUGAUGUAUGGUGCUUGUGAUACUUUUGCUUAUAUAUAGGAGGCUCUUUCUUUUUACUUUCAUAUUAAGGGUUGGGGCUAGUUUGUAUGUUUUUGUUUGUUUGCAGAAAAAAAAACAGUUUUUGUUAACAUUGUUAACACUUUGUUAACAUAUAGGAGUGUCUUUUCCAAUAGACGAAGUCAUUUUAGCUAACUUUCUUCUUGCACUUUAAAGCCUUUUUUUACUUGUUAUUGUAUUUUUGUGUAUAGUGUUACGUAUUAAUGUGCUUGAGAAAAAAAAAUAUUUCCAAUUAUGUUUUUGCAUAAACUGUGCAAAUGGAAAUUGAUAUCUUUGUAUUUUUAUAGUUGAAACAUUGGACAUUGAGCUCUUUUUCAGUGCUAAUGUUUUGCACAAGGUCAUUUGUGCCUUUGUUUGCUGCCCUGAUUAUUCCAGUGUACUUUCUGCUGGCAUGAAUCAGAGCUCAUUUCACUGACUUUACUUUUUACUCAGGAAAUGCUUUUAUCGCUGCCCAGAUUUUAAGUGUCAGAUGAUCGCACCAGGAACACUUAACCCAGGUGUUAAGUGUUUAUUUAUUUUAUUGUAUCUUUUCAUAUCUAUAAUGUAUAUUGAUGUAAGUCUUUGGUAUUACUUUUAUAUCUUCAACUGUGUCUAUUAUCAUUAUUAUUGUUAUUAAUAUUAUUAUUAUUAAAAAGUUGUAGUUUGUAGGGCAUUUGUUGAAUUUGCACACACUGACGACAAAGACUGAUACACUGAAAAGUACAAACACAAAUGGGUACAAAGUCUGAACUCUCUUAGGCAAUGUUUCUUGUAAUUUCCUUAGGUAGUCUUCAAGAAUACCUCUCAGGCUUCCCGAAGGGCAUUCACAGUCAAAAAUAACCACUUGCACCCAUUCAUACGCUUUCCCAAUGCAUUGUCAUGUGACUUGUGUUAUCCGUGUGUAUAUUCAGGUUGGAACGCCCUUGUGUGUGGGAAGAAAAUGUUCACCCACAUUCAUAAACAGAAAGAAAGAAAGUCAAGGCAUCAAUUGGCAAGUUUAGUCCACUGUGUGCAUUUGUUUUAGUUUUUAUCGUACAUCUCACAUUUUACUUGGGAAAUGCUUUUAUCACUGUAUUUUAUUUUAUAUUUUAAUGACAGUUUAGGACCUUAGGUAGCUAUAACCACGCAGUGUUCUUGAACGCACCGCCCAGACACCGAUAGUGAAACCUCAUGAAUGAACUCCAGGCAGUGUCUCUGUGCGUCCUUUCUACCGCACUGUCUUUAAUGGGCUCGUCCUGUUUUCAGACUGGUGCACACUUUAUAUGAACUUUUACACUGUUUCAGUCAUUAAAGGGAAACUUCAGCCUUUUCCCCUUGGUGAUGUAUCAGCGUCUUUUUCUGUGUGCCAGGCUGCUGCUAUUUUUUACAGGUGAAUAUGCUGCACAUGGUAAACAGGAGCAGGUUCUAGCAUUUGCUGGUGGAGAUGUUAUUCUACCAUGCAGCUUCAGGAUCUCUGACAGCACUGACUUUCCGACUGUUGAGUGGUCCAAAGAAGGUCUGAAUCCAGACGUGGUGUUCCUGUAUCGGGAUGGCUGUGAGACCUACGAGAUAAAGAAUCCAGUCUUUGAGUACAGGACAAGCUUGAUCAUGAAAGAACUGAAAGAUGGAAACAUCUCAUUAAGGAUCUCCAAUGUAAAAAUGUCUGAUGCAGGGAAGUACAAAUGCCUCAAGCUCUGGAAGAAUGCUCCUCGGGAGGUCACAGUAGUGAAGCUUGUUGUUGGGGCAGUCUCGGAGCCAAAGCUCUCAGUGGUUUCGGUUGAAAGAGGUGGGGUGACUGUGCAGUGUGAGGUGAACUGCUGGCCAGUAGAGCCUCAGGUAACAUUUCUGGAUCACCAAGGAAACGACAUCCCUGCUCAAGACCCAAAAAGAGAUCGAGAUGCCAGCGGACGUUUCGUCAUGAAACAAAGAGUUACUCUGCAGGAAGCAAACAGCAGCAUCACCUGCAGGGUUCACCAGCCAGAGAUCAACCAGACCAGAGAGACAAAGAUCCUCAUAUCAGCCACCUGCAGCUUUGACAUUUGCACCGCUGCCUUUGCUGCUGGAGGGUUGGCUUCUGUCUUACUUGCAUCUGUAUUAGCUCUACUGAUAUAUAAGGAACACACUAAAUCAGCCCAAAAAAAGGAGAGUCUUCACAGGAAGUCAUCAGACCAAAGAAAGAAUAGCAGCACUGACAAUAUGUUAAACAGUUUCACUGAGCAGCUAAAAGAAAGAAUGGCUGAACUCAAGUCAGAGCUUCAGGAGAAAGAAGAGAUCAUUCGCCAGCUACAAAGAAAUUAUCAGCCGUCUCAUGCUGUUGCUACACAGCAUGACCAACCAAUUUGGGGCCUUGUCACAUCCAAACCAGACAUCCCAAAAAAACCUUUCUAUCAUUAUUCUGACCUUGACUCCAAAGCCAGUUACUGUGAUGAUGACUAUAAUCCAAAAUCCACAGCUUCAACCAAAACUUACCCUCCAAAAUCUGGCAGCUUACACCACAAAGGUUCAAAUUUAGGAGUCAAGAGGCAAAACAGCAAUCCAGCACCAGGCCAACCAAUCCAAAGAAAACAUCGCAACAGAAGUAGUCCAGCUAUUAUGUCUUUAGAGUUACCUAGCCUAUCUUUAACCAGCAAUGCAGAGACAAUGCUGGACCACAUUAGCAGCUCAAAGAGUGAGGCCGAAGCCCUGCUAGAUCAAAAUGCAUUCUCGCCACUGCACAGAAGUUAUUCAGGAGGUUCUCAUUUAGCUUGCAAUAAUAACUGCUUUCAUGCACUGGAAGAUUUAACUGAAGAGUCAUGAGCUGCCAAUUCACAAAAGGAGAACAAAAACUGGAAAACUUUCAGUUAACAUCUACUAAUGACUGCAUCUUAGCCACAUGUUUUACAAGCUUGGUUUCAGAAACUAGAAGAUAUCAACUUUGAAAUUACUUUGGUCUUAUAGUUCUUCUUUUACAAGAUUUUCAUCUGGUGGUGCUAUGGGGAAAAAUCCAUGUAAAGCGUGGCUGGCAUGCUGAUGGAUAACACUUAGACAGACAUUCAUGAACCAACUGUUUUAAAUACCUAUUAAUUCCUAUUUGCUUUUUGUAUUUUUGUUUAUGGAUGGUUAAAUUUUUUACACCAACAGUUAUUUAAAAGGUGAGAGCUGAAAAUUAAGUCUUGGGUUUUAAGCUAAUGAGCAUUAAACAUAGACUAUUUGAAUGAAUUAGAUUUGGAUGUAUUAUAUAACCAAAAUAUUUUUUUUUUUUGUGUGUGUAUAUUGAUGUUUUAUUGAAUCUUAGUAUCUUUCUUUUGAUUUCUGUUUUACUGUAAUGUAAAUGUUGCUUUAUGUUACCAUAACAUUUGAUGUCAAAGGUUGUAUUGAGGGUUUACAUUAUUUAAAACUGCUUUGUAAUACAAAUUUAAAAUGUUCUAUUUGGCUUAAUGUUUCAGGUUUCAAAAGCUAAAUACUUAAUGAAAUAUUUGUAUGUGUUAUAUAAACAAAAAUGAUCAUUUUCUCAAGCUUAUGCUUUGUAUGUCUUCCACACUCAAGUUCAUUGUUUAUUUCUUCAGACAAUAUUAGUCUGAAACCUGAAAGAAAAUAAAGUGUGAACACUACUGAAGUACAGGAAACCUCCAAAAUUCACAGGGAUUACAU